UACGUAGGGUGCAAGCGUUGUCCGGAAUUAUUGGGCGUAAAGAGCUCGUAGGCGGUUUGUCGCGUCUGCUGUGAAAACCCGCAGCUCAACUGUGGGCUUGCAGCCGAUACGGGCGGGCUGGAGUUCGGUAGGGGAGACUGGAAUUCCUGGUGUAGCGGUGAAAUGCGCAGAUAUCAGGAGGAACACCGGUGGCGAAGGCGGGUCUCUGGGCCGAUACUGACGCUGAGGAGCGAAAGCGUGGGGAGCGAACAGG
rnacentral:rRNA from 1 species